AAGAGUAUAGCUAAACAGCAUAGCAUCUCCCUUACACUGAGAAGACAUUCGUGCAAAUCGAAUUACUCUUA
rnacentral:tRNA from 1 species